rnacentral:rRNA from 1 species
GAUGAACGCUGACAGAAUGCUUAACACAUGCAAGUCAACUGUGGCGGACGGGUGAGUAACGCGUAAAGAACUUGCCUCACAGUUAGGGACAACAUCUGGAAACGAAUGCUAAUACCUGAUACUGUGAGAGAGCUUUGCGGCCCAUUAGAUAGUUGGAGAGGUAACGGCGCACCAAGGCGAUGAUGGGUAGCCGGCCUGAGAGGGUGAUCGGCCACAAGGGGACUGGGGCACGGCCCUUACUCCUACGGGAGGCAGCAGUGGGGAAUAGUGGACAAUGGACCAAAGUCUUAUGCAGCAAUUCGGUGUGCACGAUGAAGUUGUCGGGAUGUAAAGUGCUUUCAGUUUGGAAGCGGUACCAGCAGAAGAAGUGACGGCUAAAUACGUGCCAGCCGCCGCGGUAAUUC